AGUUGGUGGGGUAAUGGCCUACCAAGCCGAAGACGAGUAACCGGUGUGAGAGCACGAUCGGUCAGAGGGGGACUGAGACACGGCCCCCACUCCUACGGGAGGCAGCAGCAGGGAAUCUUGCGCAAUGGGCGAAAGCCUGACGCAGCGACACCGCGUGGAGGAUGAAUGUCUUAGGAUUGUAAACUCCUUUUAUCAAGGAAGAGAACGGACGGUACUUGAUGAAUAAGGUUCGGCUAACUACGUGCCAGCAGCCGCGGUAAUACGUAGGAACCGAGCGUUGUCCGAAUUUACUGGGCGUAAAGAGCGCGUAGGCGGUCUGUUAAGUCUCAUGUGUAAUCUCCCGGCUCAACUGGGAGGGGUCAUGGGAUACUGGUAGACUUGAAGAUAGCAGAGGAAAGCGGAAUUCCCGGAGUAGUGGUGAAAUGCGUAGAUACCGGGAGGAACACCAGAAGCGAAGGCGGCUUUCUGGGCUGUUCUUGACGCUGAGGCGCGAAAGCGUGGGGAGCGAACCGGAUUAGAUACCCGGGUAGUCCACGCCCUAAACGAUGGAUACUAGAUGUUGGAGGUAUAGACCCCUUCAGUGUCGAAGUUAACGCGAUAAGUAUCCCGCCUGGGGAGUACGGCCGCAAGGCUAAAACUCAAAGGAAUUGACAGGGACCCGCACAAGCAGCGGAGCGUGUGGUUUAAUUCGAUGCAAAGCGAAAAACCUUACCUAGGCUUGACAUGUUUCUGAAAGCCCCCGAAACGGGGCCCUCCUUCGGGACAGAAUCACAGAUGUUGCAUGGCUGUCGUCAGCUCGUGUCGUGAGAUGUUGGGUUAAGUCCCGCAACGAGCGCAACCCCUGUCGUUAGUUACUAUGUCUAACGAGACUGCCCCCAUUGGGGAGAGGAAGGUGGGGACGAGGUCAA
rnacentral:rRNA from 1 species